AGCAAGGUAGUGCAGUUGGUAGCUCGCCUGGCUCAUAACCAGGAGGUCGGAGGUUCGAGUCCUUCCCUUGCUU
rnacentral:tRNA from 1 species